UCAGAGGCUUUUUACAGCUUUUUACGCUCUGAGAGCUGAGAGGGAACCAGAACAGUGAAGCUGUGGGCCGGAAAACCAAAACAACGGGCUGAAAGAGGCUAAAAAGCUCCGUAGAGCCGAGCUGCAUACAUUUGUAUACACAUAUAUACUGUCUGUGUGUAUAGGUUAUGAAAAAGCUAAUGAAGACGAAAAUAAAAUAAUCCGUAUGGGGCGAUCAGUAGUAUCAGUCGUUGACUCUGCAGUGAGCAUCACUCACAGCUCUUGAGUUGCACUGCUGUCAUUUUUGCAUCUAUAAUAUGUGGCGCAUUGCAUUGUGGGAUAGUUUUCAGACAGACGUGUACAUGUCAUGGACUUUUCUUUCGUUCCAUUGUGGAUUCGUGACGGCUCUGUAUAGUGGAUAAAUAAAUGUGCGCUCUGAAAUACAGUGACGGACAGUGAAUGCGGUGCACGAUUUGGUGAACGGAGUGAUUUGGGACGCAGUCUGCAUGCAGAGAGGCGACGCCCAGGGCGAAAGUCUUCUUCUUACUCUUUGAUGACAUUUUUGUGAUUGAAACAAAACCGGAGCAGAACAGGCAGCCGUAUAUAUGGUCAUUUUAGGGGUAUUGAUUAUGCUAAUGAUCAAAUCUCAGGAACAUUCACCUCCCCGCGAACAGGUGACAUUCAUCAGGCUGAAACAAGCGAUUUACAACAGGUUUGUGCAGUUUGGUGAAUCUGACUUCUGAUCAGAAUCAACAGAGAGAAGUUUAGGAGAAGAAUAUGAAAAUGUUCAUGUUCAGUAAGUUGCAUGAAUGCAUUCACUGUGUCAUAAUAAUUAAAUGAAAAUUAUUUAGCUUUUGUCUUUAAUAACUGAAUGAAUAGUUUUUCAUACGACAUUGAAAUCAGAUGCUGUAUAAAUAAAACUGACUUCAGUAAUGUUUUAUUGUUUUAAGACUUGAACUUCUUUAUAUGAGUCAAAAUGAACACGCUGGAAAAUGAUCACCUGUUAGAAGUAAACUGCAUGAGUCUGGGCCGAAUGAGUCACCUGUGCAUCUGAAGAACAGGCUCAAAAGCCCAGGAACAUCUGACCCAGAGUCUGCUGCUGGUCAAUGGGCUCGCCGCUCAGUCGGCCAUGUUACCUUUCAUCUGCAGUGGCCGAUACUGGAGUCGUCUGUCUGGUGCACGUUCACGUUAACUACCAGGACUGGGAUGCAAAACGUGUUGUAGAAACUAGUUUUACAAAAUAGUAACAAGACACUGAAACUAAUGUCGUAAUGUGCUCUGCUGACCUGUUUGUACUUUUAUUAAUAUUUGUUAUUAUCAUUAUUAUUUUUUAUCUUGUUUUUAAUGUUGUGCAGCACUUUGGUUCAGCUUCGGUUGUUGGAAGGUGCUGUAGAAAUAAAGAUUGAUUGAUUGAUUGAUUGAUUGAUUGAAACCUCAGCUGUCCCUGAACUUUGCAGCAUUUCAAGUCAGGUUUACAAAGACGUCAUCAGAAGCAGCAGCAGCCUGGGAGCUGUUCUGGAACCAUCUACAAACCUACAGACAAAUGUACCGCAGCGUCCAACCCAAACACUGAGCUCCUCGCUGAGUGUCUGCAGUGUUUUCUGCUUGCUGCAUCAAUCUACUUGUGUGCUACAGCGCCACCUGCUGGUCAGGCUGAAGUCAAAUAGCUGCUGCUUUUCUUCAGCUGUAAAGACGACGGCAGAGAGCACACUGUAACUUCUUCUCCUGCAACAACUUAAUUACUAAUGACUAAUUACACAAAGAGUUCAAACUGUUCAUGAGUCAUUUUAAUUUACAACACUUUAAGUGUAAUUUCUGUUUGCAGUUGUAAUUCAUCACGUGUUUAAAGUAAAGUCAAUCGUGGUUUAUACUGGAGCACUUCACACAGCAGCUGCUCCUUUCUCCCCUUUUUAUCGUCCUCACGCAGGUUUUCUUUCACAUCCAGUUUGACAUCGGACUCAUCUGAUGGAGAGAAGAAGUGAAAGAGAAACAACAUUAAUGAAAACUGGAAUGGGUACUGCUGAACCAGCAUGGACUGAGUCGGACCCCCUACUGACCUCAGAGUCUCCAGUCUACAGUGUGGACUCUCCAGUCCAGCAGACAGCAGCUUCACUCCUGAAUCCUGCAGCUUGUUAUUACUCAGGUCCAGAUCUCUCAGAUGGGAGGGGUUGGACUUCAGAGCUGAGGCCAGAGAAGCACAGCUGAUCUCUGACAAACUGCAGAGCCUCAAUCUGGAUAAAAGAAUAAAUGAUGUAAAUAAAAAUCAAUUUAUAAUCCAAUCAGAUGUGUUCAGGUUUGAAAUGUGUAGCUCAACAUCACUCUGUCCUAAUCAAUGAGCUUCUCCCUAAAAUGAGUAGAGUGACUGUGUCAUUGUGUUAUUGUGGAUCAUCAUCAUGUCAGCCUUCUGCAGACAUCAUACAAAUUUGAAUUUGGAUGAUGUCUGCAGAAGACUGACAUGUCUCCAGUUCUACUCUGCAAUAAUCCCGUCUGUCCUUUGCACAUCCAUCACUGCCUGGUUUGGAUCGGCCACCAAACAGGACAGGAACAGACUAACGGACAGUUAGGACUGCAGAGAAGAUCAUCGGUGCCGACCUGCCCUCCAUUCAGGACUUAUACACGUCCAGAGUCAGGAAACAUCACUGCAGACCCGUCACAACCUGUUCCACCUUCUCCCCUCUGGGAGGCGCUACAGCAAAACAACCAGACACCAGAACAGUUUCUACCCGCAGGCCGUCGCUCUGAUGAACACUAACACCAGUCACUCAGUGUCAGGAACAACCCCUGUGACACAAACAUCCACUGAACCUAAACUAAACUGCAGCUCAACAAGGAAACACUGUCAAACACUAAACACUGACUUGAUAUGUGGAACUGCUGAAGCCUCAUAUUAGUUUCAGCUAAACUUUAGAAGUCAGUUUUACACAGAACAAGAUGGUGGACUUUGUCCUCCAUCUCGAAACACUGGAGUCAGGUUAUAAGAGGACUGCUUCACAGACAGUAUGGACAGAAGGAACGAUUACAGACACCAGAACUCUUUGAAGGUACAGAUGGACACGUGAGUGUUGUACUGAGAUUGACUUAUGAACCCGUCCUGUAAGACAAACAUGUUUCUGCUGCAGACUAUUUAUUUGGUUUUUGUUGCAAUCUAAAUGUCUGUGGCUUCAAAUAAUUAAUGCUGACAUGAAAACAGAGCAACAGUUAGACCUGUUGUCAAGAAGAACACAAGGCGUCAGCGUGUCAAGGUGGGGCGC